rnacentral:rRNA from 1 species
GACGAACGCUGGCGGCGUGCCUAAUACAUGCAAGUAGAACGCUGAAGGAGGAGCUUGCUUCUCUGGAUGAGUUGCGAACGGGUGAGUAACGCGUAGGUAACCUGCCUGGUAGCGGGGGAUAACUAUUGGAAACGAUAGCUAAUACCGCAUAAUAGUAGAUGUUGCAUGACAUUUGCUUAAAAGGUGCAAUUGCAUCACUACCAGAUGGACCUGCGUUGUAUUAGCUAGUUGGUGGGGUAACGGCUCACCAAGGCGACGAUACAUAGCCGACCUGAGAGGGGGGUAGGCCACCGUGGAACGGAACCGAGGCCCAGGCUCCUAGGGGAGGAAGCAGUGGGGAAUUUUGGGCAAUGGGGGGAAGUCUGACCGAGCAACGCCGGGGGAGUGAAAAAGGUUUUCGGGUCGUAAAGCUGUGUUGUAAGGGAAGAACGGGUUUGGGAGGGGAAAAUUCCACCUGGGCGGGUAUUUUCAAAAAAAGGGACGGUAAAUUCGGG